rnacentral:rRNA from 1 species
GUAACCUGCGGAGGGAUCAUUACACAAAUAUGAAGGCGGGCUGGAACCUCUCGGGGUUACAGCCUUGCUGAAUUAUUCACCCUUGUCUUUUGCGUACUUCUUGUUUCCUUGGUGGGUUCGCCCACCACUAGGACAAACAUAAACCUUUUGUAAUUGCAAUCAGCGUCAGUAACAAAUUAAUAAUUACAACUUUCAACAACGGAUCUCUUGGUUCUGGCAUCGAUGAAGAACGCAGCGAAAUGCGAUAAGUAGUGUGAAUUGCAGAAUUCAGUGAAUCAUCGAAUCUUUGAACGCACAUUGCGCCCUUUGGUAUUCCAAAGGGCAUGCCUGUUCGAGCGUCAUUUGUACCCUCAAGCUUUGCUUGGUGUUGGGCGUCUUGUCUCUAGCUUUGCUGGAGACUCGCCUUAAAGUAAUUGGCAGCCGGCCUACUGGUUUCGGAGCGCAGCACAAGUCGCACUCUCUAUCAGCAAAGGUCUAGCAUCCAUUAAGCCUUUUUUUCAACUUUUGACCUCGAUCAGGUAGGAUCCCCGGUUCCCC